GCCAUAAUAGUUUAUGAAUAAAACGGUAAUUUUGUAAAUUACAAACGGAUUAAUCCUUAUGGCU
rnacentral:tRNA from 1 species